UGGUAUUGAUUGGUGCUUGCAUCAUGAUUUACAUUUGAGUGAGUGGCGAACUGGUGAGUAACACGUGGGAAACCUGCCCAGAAGCGGGGGAUAACACCUGGAAACAGAUGCUAAUACCGCAUAACAACUUGGACCGCAUGGUCCGAGCUUGAAAGAUGGCUUCGGCUAUCACUUUUGGAUGGUCCCGCGGCGUAUUAGCUAGAUGGUGGGGUAACGGCUCACCAUGGCAAUGAUACGUAGCCGACCUGAGAGGGUAAUCGGCCACAUUGGGACUGAGACACGGCCCAAACUCCUACGGGAGGCAGCAGUAGGGAAUCUUCCACAAUGGACGAAAGUCUGAUGGAGCAACGCCGCGUGAGUGAAGAAGGGUUUCGGCUCGUAAAACUCUGUUGUUAAAGAAGAACAUAUCUGAGAGUAACUG
rnacentral:rRNA from 1 species